UUCUUUUCCUUCCCUUUGCCAAAAAGACCUCAGUAGCUCUUUCUCCCACCCUCAUUUCAAAAGGGUUUAAUCUCCUAAACCGAAGUUAGAUUCUAAAAUACGCGAUCGAUUAGGUGUUCUUCCACAACUACGUUAUUCCUGAAUCCUAAUUUCAAUUUUACAAAAAUUUCUUCCCUCCAGCGUCGCGUUGAAGCGAGAGCGAGGACCAUCCUCUCUGUUUUCGAGGGUUUCUUCCAUCAUCACCGUCUGUGACGUUGUUAUAGAUGUCGCCGGCAGCGACAUAAGUUAUCGUCUUGUUCCAUCAUCCUUCAAAAUCUCGUGUAAGGCUUCUCUUCUUCUUCCACUUCAAACCUGUGUCUCUAAUCUUAGACCAACCAUGAGAGACCAAACCUCAGCUUCAGUGUGUGAAGAUUUCACUCCGAGUCUCGAUCAAACAUUGUCAUUGUGAAUCUGAUUCUUAGUACAUACUUUAUUUCAUUUUUUCUUUUUGAAAUUUUGUGUUUGUUCCCCUAAUUUAUGAACUUCUCAAUGCUUCACGUUCUUGUCAUUGAUGACAACCUCGUUGAGAGCAAGGUCAUUGAACAAUUGCUCAAGAUUUCUUCUGCAAAUGUUGUCGUUGAUGGCAACCUCGUUUAUAGUAUUUUGGCUUGGAUGAAGAGACCAGUUCUCUUGGGUGGGAUGUAUAAUAUGAUAGAACAAGGGCACGUUUGGACAAAGUUUUCUUUCUUUGACUAAGUCAAGAUCAACAGCAGAAAUGAGGGGUGAGAUUGUCUUUGGUGGUCUUGCUUGGUCCAAAAGAGGGUGAUGAUUAGUGAUUCGUUGAACCACAACUCAAUUGUUAAUGGUGCACGAGGAUCAAUAGCAACUAUUUGUGUUUUUCAACACAAUGGCCUAUAGAAAUUGCCACCAUUGCUUGAGGAUCGCCAUUGGAUUUUUCUUCUGUUAAUUUUUGGCAGAUAAUCAAGUAGAACCGCCUUCAAGUUCAAUUUUGUAUCCUCUCUCAUAUUGGACAUACAGGGACAACUCUAGUUAUAUUCCAGGUAACAUGUUUUAGAUGUUUAAGGAUAUUUAUGUGGAUGUGAACAACACAACCUUUGAGGUAUACCUUUGUCAUUAUUUAUCCUUAGCCUUGAAUAUGCAUGUUCAUAGUUUCAAAUGAGGAACUUGGAAAGAUAAAUUACUUCCUUCUAAACAUGUUGAACACCUGUUAUAAAAGCCACUGAAAUCUUAAUAUUAUAAUUAUGAGAUUCACUGUCAUUAUUAAAGUGCUUUGGUAUUUAUAGGAAUCAGUGAUAACUUUUCUAAAUUUUCAUUAUAGUCAACAUAUAAAUUUUAAAUAUUUUUCAGGAGAUAUUAUUGGAGGCCAAUAUUUAAGUUCUUUUUUCUUCAUUUUCAUAUCACAUACUCUAUAAAUGAUGCCUUAUGGAAUUAUUCUAACCUGCUGCAACUACUUUUUUUUAAGCCAAAAUGGUUAAUUUACUAUUAUAUAAUCUAUGUGCAUAUUAAUAAUUUUUUCUAUAAAGACAAAAAUAAAGACAAGAGGCAUAUCUAUUUUAGAAUAAAUAAAUAAUUUGGAUUUUAAAUAGGUGAAUAAUUGUUGAAUUUUGAGAGAAUCAACCUCACAUUUAGUUUUAUAGUAAGUAAAAUGAUUGAUAAGUUUAUUCGUUAUUAAGUGUAUUGUGGCAUAAAUUUUACUAAUUACAAUUUUUUAAAACUAUUUGAAUGGAAAAACACUAAUACUUUUAAUUUUAUAAAAAAACCAAGUUUCUUGUUUUGCUUUCCCCUUUAAUCACUUAAUGAUAUUUUUGAUGAUUUUGUUUUUCUCUCCGUCAUGAAUGUAUUGGCUCAGAUAUUCAGGAUAAAGAAAUUCUAACUUUUGUCACAAUGCUAAUGGACUUCACCAAUGAUUGAUUUGCUUUCUCGAUUCAGUCAUUUGUCUAUCGUAAUUCACAUCAUAGUUAUAUUUUUCUUGACAAUUUCUAAAUUUCUAUGUUUAUAUUAGUUUUUAAACUUCUCUUGAUUGAGGUCUUACACUUAUGUUGUGGUUGAUUCGUGCCUUUUUGCAAUAUCAGGGAAUAAGUAAAACUGAAAUCAUGUCUCUUGAUUUCUCCAUUUCUGAGAAUGAAGGAACAGUAGAAUGUUAUGAAAACACUUUCAUGGAGAUGAAAAAUCUUAAAAUACUACUUAAUAGAAAUGUUAAAUUUCUUGAUUCUCACCUCUGAUGUAUAUACGCAAUGCCAUAGCUGUGAAUGAAUUUCUUGGUCAUAGUUGGAGAAAGGUAAUACACUUUGUUUGCAAUGGUUAAUAUAUUUUGUUACUUGGAUCCUUUUAUAUAACCACAAACAUAAUUUGUUU